CUCCGGGAACAAUAUCCGGCUCUAUACAACAUUGUGCGCCACAAGGGUGAUACUAUUGCCACGGUAAAGGAAUCAUUUCCACCAAAUGUCACGUUCAUAAGAGAUUUAAUUGGACCCAGACUCCAACCGUGGAACAUCCUGCUCGAGCGGUUGUCCACGGUGCAAUUGUCACAUGGGUCUGAUAUUUUCCAAUGGAACCUCCAUGGGAAUGGACAAUUCUCAGUGGAGUCAAUGUAUAGAGCUUUAAUCCAGUCUGAUGUGUCAGUUGAUAAUAAUAAGAAAAUCUGGAAGAUGAAGAUACCUCUUAAGAAUAAAAUCUUUGCAUGGUAUCUUCGUCGCGGAGUCAUUCUUACUAAAGAUAACCUUAUUAAGAGGAAUUGGCAUGGAAGUGUGCAAUGUGUCUUUUGUCACCAUGAUGAGACGAUAAAACAUUUAUUCUUCCAAUGCAAAUUGGCUCGUUCUAUAUGGUCAGUCAUCCAAAUAGCUUCUGGCUUGUAUCCUCCUUGUAGUGUUGCUAAUGUAUUUGGCAACUAG
rnacentral:rRNA from 1 species